rnacentral:rRNA from 1 species
GUUAGGAAUAUUGGGCAAUGGAGGAAACUCUGACCCAGCAACGCCGCGUGAAGGAUGAAGGUUUUCGGAUUGUAAACUUCUGUUCUAUGGGAAAAAACAAAUGAUGGUACCAUAGGAGAAAGCCACGGCUAACUACGUGCCAGCAGCCGCGGUAAUACGUAGGGGGCAAGCGUUGUUCGGAAUCACUGGGCGUAACGGGCGCGUAGGUUGUUUUUUAAGUUAAAUGUGAAAGCCCGGGGCUUAACUACGGAAUGCCAUUUAAAACUGGAAGACUAGCGUGCAGGAGGGGUGCGCGGAAUUCCUAGUGUAGUGGUGGAAUGCGUAGAUAUUAGGAAGAACACCAGAGGCGAAGGCGGCUCACUGGACUGUUACUGACACUGAGGCUCGAAAGCGUGGGGAGCAAACAGGAUUAGAAACCCCUGUAGUCC